rnacentral:rRNA from 1 species
GACGAACGCUGGCGGCGUGCUUAACACAUGCAAGUCGAACGAAGUGGCGAACGGGUGAGUAAUACGUGGGUAACCUUCCCUCCGUUUUGGGAUAAGCCUUGGAACCGGGGUCUAAUACCGAAUACAUGGGGAUGGGCUCGCGGCCGAUCAGGUUGUUGGUGGGGUGAUCGCCUACCAAGGCGGUGACGGGUAGCCGGCCUGAGAGGUUGACCGGCCACAUUGGGACGGAGAUACGGCCCAUGUGACUCCGGGGGGUAGCAGUGGGGGAUAUGGCAGAAUGGGCGAAAGCCUGAUGCAGCGACGCUGCGUGUGGGAUGCAGGCUUUCGUGUUGUAAUACUCUGUCGCUAUCGAACGGGUAGGUUGUGAAGAAGCGCCGGCUAACUACGUGCCAGCAGCCGCGGUAAUAC